rnacentral:rRNA from 1 species
GAUGAACGCUGGCGGCGUGCCUAAUACAUGCAAGUCGAGCGAACAGACGAGGAGCUUGCUCCUCUGACGUUAGCGGCGGACGGGUGAGUAACACGUGUAUAACCUACCUAUAAGACUGGGAUAACUUCGGGAAACCGGAGCUAAUACCGGAUAAUAUAUUGAACCGCAUGGUUCAAUAGUGAAAGACGGUUUUGCUGUCACUUAUAGAUGGAUCCGCGCCGCAUUAGCUAGUUGGUAAGGUAACGGCUUACCAAGGCAACGAUGCGUAGCCGACCUGAUAGGGUGGUCGGCCACACGGGAAGUGAGACACGGUCCAGACUACUAAGGGAGGCAGCAGUAGGGAAUCUGCCGCAAUGGGCGAAAGCUUGACGGAGCAACGGCGCGUGAGUGAUGAAGGUCUUCGGAUCGGAAAACUCUGUUAUUAGGGAAGAACAAAUGUGUAAGUAACUAUGCACGUCUUGACGGUACCUAAUCUGAAAGCCACGGCUAACUACGUG